rnacentral:rRNA from 1 species
GCCCUACGGGGCGCAGCAGUGGGGAAUAUUGCACAAUGGGGGAAACCCUGAUGCAGCGACGCCGCGUGAGUGAAGAAGUAUCUCGGUACGUAAAGCUCUAUCAGCAGGGAAGAAAAAAAGUCUUUGGCUUUGGACGGUACCUGACCAAGAAGCCCCGGCUAACUACGUGCCAGCAGCCGCGGUAAUACGUAGGGGGCAAGCGUUAUCCGGAUUUACUGGGUGUAAAGGGAGCGUAGACGGCAGGGCAAGUCUGGAGUGAAAGGCAGGGGCCCAACCCCUGGACUGCUCUGGAAACUGAC